rnacentral:lncRNA from 1 species
AUGUUCUCAAAGGAAAUCCAGGGACCCACUGUCCUACCCCCCAAACACAUCCAGACUCCAGGAUCUCACGCCAUUACAUCUUUCCGUGGUGUUGAGUUAGAGAUGAAAGGGAAUAGAACAAGCUCCAAGGAAACCAGAAGAGAUGAAAGGAUCACAGUUUCUUCAAACAACUCCAAAGACUCCGAGAGACUCAAAUUCUUGAGUGAGUGCUGUAGAGCAGCAGAUCAGCAAUCAAUUAGACAGAAUGCAACUCCAGGGAGCCCCGAAUAUGAAACUGGCAAGCCCCAGCCCCAAAAGACUGGGGUUCAGUGUGCUCGAACAUUACCCUCUUAGGGAGAACAUUCCUCCUCAUCAGGAACAGGAUGGACAAAAUUACAAUGGUUACACAAUCACCUUCCCUCUUUUAAAACAAAGCGUGAGUCAAGAUUCUUUGACUUAAAAAUAACAACAGCCCAACACAACUGAGUUUAAGAAAAAACUAAAUGGAAAUUUAUACAGUUCACAUGGCUGGAACAAUACUGGAAAAAUCACAGAAUUCAGAAGUUCUGCAAAAACCAAGGCUUCUGGGGCUGCAGCCUGGGACUUGCUGUUUCCAGAUUCUCUGCAUGCGUCUGCUGCUGGAGGUGCUGCUUCCAUUCUCCCUCCACAUGCUAAACAUGGGAUUAGACACACAUUUCAAGAGGAAAUCCAGGAGGCCCAGCUGAGGUCAUUACCAAUUAUAAAACCACGUUCUGAAGCCAAAUGGAACCUUUAAUUAGCUAAACCUGGAUUCCUUGCUCACCCACGACUUAAAAGAGGCAGAGACAGACAAUGGGACUGACAGCCCCAGUCAAAUCACCUGGAAUGGGAGAGACAUUCCCAAAGGGGAAAGGGGUAUGGUAUGGAUACUGUUACCUAGAAGAAGAAAACAGACUGAAUGACGGCCCUGUCCCUCCAACAUAAGGCUUCCUCUGCUCUUACGCACUUUUUUACUGAGCACUCACUAGCAUUUAAAUACUUAUUAAAUAACAGACACUGCAGUAUUUUUCUUUAGAACACUCAAUUUUAUACAUGAUAACUAUAGCUUAGGUUAAACCUCAUAUCCAAGGUCACCCAGCAUGGGGGCUCCAGAACUUAUUCUCUUGACCAGUUUGCUGUAUCGCCUCCCAGAUAAACUGGACAUCAAAAGACUUGGAUCGAAAAUAUAAAUGAUAGGGGCCGGCUCCAUGGUGCAGGUUAAUCCUCUGCCUGCGGCACUGGCAUCCCAAAUGGGCACCGGUUCUAGUCCCAGCUGCUCCUCUUCCAAUCUAGCUCUCUACUGUGGCCUGGGAAAGCAGUAGAAGAUGGCUCAAGUCCUUGGGCCCCUGCACCCACAUGGGAGACCGGAAAGAAGCACCUGGCUCCGGGCUUUGGAUCAGCGCAGCUCCGGCUCUUGCGGCCAUUUGGGGAGUGAAGCAACGGACAGAAGACUUUUUCUCUGUUUCUCCCUCUAACUGUCUGUAACUCUACCUCUCAAAUAAAUAUAUAUAAUCUUUUAAAAUAUAUAUAAAG